rnacentral:rRNA from 1 species
UACAGGGGGGGCAAGCGUUGUUCGGAAUUACUGGGCGUAAAGGGCUCGUAGGCGGCCAACUAAGUCACACGUGAAAUCCCCAGCUUAACCUGGGAACUGCGUGUGAUACUGGAUGGCUUGAAUUCGGGAGAGGGAUGCAGAAUUCCAGGUGUAGCGGUGAAAUGCGUAGAUAUCUGGAGGAAUACCGGUGGCGAAGGCGGCAUCCUGGACCGACAUUGACGCUGAUGAGCGAAAGCUAGGGGAGCAAACGGGG